UUCCAGACUCCUACGGGAGGCAGCAGUGGGGAAUAUUGCACAAUGGGGGAAACCCUGAUGCAGCAACGCCGCGUGAGUGAAGAAGUAUUUCGGUAUGUAAGGCUCUAUCAGCAGGGAAGAGAAUGACGGUACCUGACUAAGAAGCCCCGGCUAACUACGUGCCAGCAGCCGCGGUAAUACGUAGGGGGCGAGCGUUAUCCGGAUUUACUGGGUGUAAAGGGAGCGUAGACGGUUCUGCAAGUCUGAAGUGAAAGCCCGUGGCUUAACCGCGGAACGGCUUUGGAAACUGUGGAACUGGAGUGCUGGAGAGGCAAGCGGAAUUCCUAGUGUAGCGGUGAAAUGCGUAGAUAUUAGGAGGAACACCAGUGGCGAAGGCGGCUUACUGGACUGUAACUGACGUUGAGGCUCGAAAGCGUGGGGAGCAAACAGGAUUAGAUACCCGAGUAAA
rnacentral:rRNA from 1 species